rnacentral:rRNA from 1 species
UUUCCAUGGGCGCAGACUGAUGCAGCCAUGCGCGUGUUGAAGAAGGCCUUCUGGUUGUAAAUACUUCAGCGGGGAAGAGGGGACUCAAAUAAUACUUUGCUCAUUGACGUUACCCGCACAAAAUGCAAGGCUAACUCAGUGCCAGAGGCGCGGUAACUCACUGCCUUCCGGUGGCUCUGG